ensembl:lncRNA
UGGUAGACGUAGCUCAUUGAGGAAGCUGACUGGUUGUAUGACAUCUCCAUCCUGGAAGCUGUAUUCCAUCCUGCCAUCAAUCUGGUUUGAAGUGCUUCUACAAGACAAACAAUAGAUAUUUGUUAGGUACUUUAAUCCACAUCUUGAAAAAGUUUUUCUUUUAUUUUUUUUUUUUAUUACUAAUCCUAAUUUUUUUUUGUAACUUUACGUAGCUUCAAUGAGCUAAAAUAAGAGGACACAUGAAGUAAAGACUGUGAAGCGAGUUCGCAUCUUACGUGAAGUUGGAGGACUUUGGUUGUAAAGUUGGACUUCCAGGUUCAUUCAGAAGAGUGUUCAGCUGCAGGAGAAAAAUCAAACCAUUCAUCAGUUUCUCCUGAAGACUGCCACUGAACCUAAGAUGUAUUACACUGUUCAUUUUUGAAAUUUACCGCAUUAUUGAUGGUAUCCUGCACUUUCUGGUUGGUGUUGCCUCUAGACACAGGGUCCUCUGGCAUGCUGAUGUUAAUCACGUUAAAUGUAAAGACCACAGCAUAGGAGGUUUCUGAGAUUUCUGUUUGGAUGGAAAUGGUAAUUUUAAGAAUUUCCAAAAGCCUGUAAUACAUCAUUGUU